rnacentral:rRNA from 1 species
UACGUAGGGGGCGAGCGUUGUCCGGAUUUAUUGGGCGUAAAGAGCUCGUAGGUGGCCUGUCGCGUCGGCUGUGAAAACUCGAGGCUCAACCUCGAGACGUCGGUUGAAACCGUAUGGCUAGAGUCCGGAAGAGGAGAGUGGAAUUCCCGGUGUAGCGGUGAAAUGCGCAGAUAUCGGGAAGAACACCCGUGGCGAAGGCGGCUCUCUGGGACGGUACUGACGCUGAGACGCGAAAGCGUGGGGAGCGAACAGG